AGCAGAUCGGGUGGCCGCGUACCGAAGGGUAUGAGGAAAGUCCGGGCUCCACAGGGCAGGGUAGCUGCUAACGGCAGCCGAAGGCGACUUCAGGGAAAGUGCAACAGAGAUAUACCGCCCGCUUCGGCGGGUAAGGGUGGAAAGGCGAGGUAAGAGCUCACCGCCGGGCAGGAGACUGUUCCGGCCUGCAAACCCUAUUCGGAGCAACACCGAAAAGGACAUAUGCGCCGGCCCGGCGCGUCCUUAAGCGUGGCACUGAGCGCAGGCGGCGACGCGGCGCCAAGAUAGAUGGUCACUCAAGACAGAACCCGGCUUACAGAUCUGCUCA
rnacentral:RNase_P_RNA from 1 species